rnacentral:lncRNA from 1 species
AUCAUUAACAUGUUAAUGAAAAUUCACAUACUUAACAAAAAAAAGGUAGGUUUGCUCCGAUACGAGUUUUAUAUAAGAGAAAUUAGGUGGUAUGGCUAAAACAAAAACAAUAUUUAGAUCAGUAGCCAAAUACCCUAGAAUACACUGAUACAUAGUGUAUUUUGUAUAAUAUUACACUUCUAACCUUCAACGCAACCGGC